GAGGAGGGUUCUGGGUCUGGAUCUCUUCCUAAGGAGAACCAGGGACUGGCCCUGGCCUGUGAUUUGGGUCUCUUCCUGAGGAAACCAGGUCACUAUAGUGACCCUAGUGACAGGAAGAAAGGGAGAUGGGUGUGGCUGCCAGGACUUUCUCCAGUGGAAAAGGGAUUCCCUCUAGGCUGAGCCUCCCCUGGGCCUUAGGGCCUCACCCUUCCCUUCCCCCACACCUGUCCUGGCAGGUAAGGCUGCUUCCUGCUUCCUGGGCCCAGAUGGCAGCCGCACCACCCAGCUGAUCUCCAGCAGCCCUCCCCCUCCCCAAGGGUGGCUUCCCUGCAGAAGAAUCUGCAUGGCACGCUGUUGUCUUCUUUCUGGGGUCCAUCUCCUGUACUGGGGAGGGAGAACCUCAGAAUCUCCUGGAAUUCUUUACCAUUCAGAAACCAGCCUCCCCUCUGAAGAAUCCCAAGGCCCAGCUGGGCUCAAUUUGGAUCUGUUCUUUGUUUUAAAAAUGUGUAUUUAU
rnacentral:lncRNA from 1 species